UGUCCUCGAGGCGAUGGGGCCCGCCUGAAACCGCCCAGCCGGGCUGAUGGCUCCUACCCAGAA
rnacentral:ncRNA from 2 species